AAGGUGUGGAGCUAAGAGGGAAUGCAGUGAGAUUCUGCGACAUUACCCGAUGCUGUGAGUCCUUUCUAAUACGGACAGCCAACAGUGUCACUGGAUGAAAAAGUAACCCGAGAAAGAAAAGAUGUGGUUGCUUUUGCCUUUGAGAGUGAAAAAAGCUCAAAGGUCAGGAUUCCGGGAAGACCGCGCUGUACCUAAGGAUGAAGUCAGAAGACCUGCCGUUUGCUAUU
rnacentral:ncRNA from 1 species